GACGAACGCUGGCGGCGUGCUUAACACAUGCAAGUCGAACGGUAAGGCCCUUCGGGGUACACGAGUGGCGAACGGGUGAGUAACACGUGGGUAAUCUGCCCUGCACAUCGGGAUAAGCCUGGGAAACUGGGUCUAAUACCGAAUAGGACCACAGGACACAUGUCCUGUGGUGGAAAGCUUUUGCGGUGUGGGAUGGGCCCGCGGCCUAUCAGCUUGUUGGUGGGGUGAUGGCCUACCAAGGCGACGACGGGUAGCCGGCCUGAGAGGGUGUCCGGCCACAGGGGGAGUGAGAACCGGCCCAGGCUCCAACGGGGGGAAGAGGUGGGGAAUUUUGCAAAAUGGGCGAAAGCCGAGUGCAGUGACGCCGGGGGGGGGAUGGCGGCUUUCGGGUUGUAAACCUCUUCCACCAUCGACGAAGGGCCGGGUUUUCUCGGGCGGCGGGAAGGGGGAGAAGAAGCACCGGCAACCUACU
rnacentral:rRNA from 1 species